rnacentral:rRNA from 1 species
AUACGGAGGAUCCGAGCGUUAUCCGGAUUUAUUGGGUUUAAAGGGUGCGCAGGCGGCCAUUUAAGUCAGCGGUUAAAUCGUGGGGCUCAACCCCAUUCUGCCGUUGAUACUGGGUGGCUUGAUUGCGGUCGAGGUUGGCGGAAUUCGUUGCGUAGCGGUGAAAUGCAUAGAUAUGACGAAGAACACCGAUUGCGUAGGCAGCUGACCAGACCGCAAAUGACGCUCAUGCACGAAAGUGCGGGGAUCGAACAGGAUUAGAUACCCUGGUAGUCCGCACAGUAAACGAUGAAUACUUGUUUUCGGCGAUAUAAUGUCGGAGGCAAAGCGAAAGCGAUAAGUAUUCCACCUGGGGAGUACGCCGGCAACGGUGAAACUCAAAUGAAUUGACGGGG